rnacentral:rRNA from 1 species
ACCUACGGGUGAAAGCGGAGGACCUUCGGGCUUCGCGCGGUUGAAUGAGCCGAUGUCGGAUUAGCUAGUUGGCGGGGUAAAGGCCCACCAAGGCGACGAUCCGUAGCUGGUCUGAGAGGAUGAUCAGCCACACUGGAACUGAGACACGGUCCAGACUCCUACGGGAGGCAGCAGUGGGGAAUAUUGGACAAUGGGCGCAAGCCUGAUCCAGCCAUGCCGCGUGGGUGAAGAAGGCCUUCGGGUUGUAAAGCCCUUUUGUUGGGAAAGAAAAGCAGUCGGUUAAUACCCGAUUGUUCUGACGGUACCCAAAGAAUAAGCACCGGCUAACUUCGUGCCAGCAGCCGCGGUAAUACGAAGGGUGCAAGCGUUACUCGGAAUUACUGGGCGUAAAGCGUGCGUAGGUGGUGAUUUAAGUCUGUUGUGAAAGCCCUGGGCUCAACCUGGGAAUUGCAGUGGAUACUGGGUCACUAGAGUGUGGUAGAGGGUAGCGGAAUUCCCGGUGUAGCAGUGAAAUGCGUAGAGAUCGGGAGGAACAUCCGUGGCGAAUGCGGCUACCUGGACCAACACUGACACUGAGGCACAAAAGCGUGGGGAGCAAACAGGAUUACAUACCCUGGUAGUCCACGCCCUAAACGAUGCGAACUGGAUGUUGGGUGCAAUUUGGCA